UCACCUCUUUGUGGCUUCCCAGGUACCUGCUGCUGCUGCUCCCUUUCAUUUGCCACAGAAGAUGUUUUACUGAUGGGUGUCAGCAUCUCCUCCUCGCUGGCACUGACGGAUGCUGAGGUACCCCUCAGCCCAUCAGCAACCUCACACACAGCCUCCCUGUGGUCCUGAUCCCCAUGCAGGACUGAGUAACAACCGCACAAGAGAAGGAGGCUCUCCUGAGAGCAAGCUCAUUCUGCAAAGGCUGGGUAUGAACUUGGAGAGAGCCCCUCACUGCACCCUCUUCUCCGCUCUGUCGGUGCAUAGCCCUCACACCAUUCCAGGAAGGAAUGCACAGGCAUAAACCAGUGACAUAACCUGCCAAACCAGCCUUGGAGCUGGGACCACAACAUGCUCCUGGGGAAAAACUAAAGCAAACAGCAGCUCCCAGCACCCAGCACAGCUCUCAGCCACAGAUCCCCGCUCACCAAUUAGAUUUCCUCCACCAGUUUGCAUGGGGAAAAGCAGGGAGGAAAUGCCAGCUGCUGCUGGGCAUGCAGAACAGAUUCAUGUGUGUGUUUAAAGCACUAAUAACUCCCUUCCUGCUGAAAGAGGGAAAAGACUUUCUCUUAAUCCUUCCUUGCAUCAGUAAUCAGAGAGAGGAGCAGAUGGUGCCAGAAAUACAGUAAUACGCCCGUUAAAAUAGCUCAGUAGCUGAUGACUUAGCACCAGACCCCAUGCAGCAAACACCUUUAUGAGAGCCCUGCUCCAGCAGAAAACAGUGGCUCAUGCAGUGAGCCUGAGGAAAGAAGAAGUCUCCGGGAAUGAACCCAGCUCCAUUUAGCAGUAAGGCCAGGGCUCUCACCUGCAAGCUCUUUGCCAGCAGAUGUGCUCAGCAAGGUUUGCUCUCCAGGCACAUUCACACAAGGUACGUGUCCCAUUCUGCCCCUCAGUAACAUCAGUCUGUGCCUUCCAGCUGAGUGGUGAACAUCCCCAGCCCUGCUGCUAGGCUUCCCAGAGUCCAUUCAUCCCUCAAGAGGAAUAAGCAGAUGGACAAGAGGCUUUCCAAUUAUGGAUUUCUCCUCUACAAUUCCCAGGGUAAGGUAGCAUGCUAGGGGCUCUAUCUUCCAUGGUACUUGAUUUGAAACACAGAGAUGAAGGGUCAUGAGAUGAAAGAGAAGCAUUAAUCUCCCAUGUUGACUCAGCAUCACAAUGAAUUUCAUCCUUCAACUGCUUUUGCUCUUGGCUGGAGGUCAGCAUUUUCAGGGAGGAAUACUCCA